rnacentral:rRNA from 1 species
UACAGAGGGUGCGAGCGUUGUCCGGAAUCACUGGGCGUAAAGGGCGCGUAGGUGGCUUGCCAAGCGUGUGGUGAAAGCCCGGAGCUCAACUCCGGGUCGGCCAUGCGAACUGGCAGGCUAGAGCACGGUAGAGGCCAAUGGAAUUCCGGGUGUAGCGGUGGAAUGCGUAGAGAUCCGGAAGAACACCGGUGGCGAAGGCGGUUGGCUGGGCCGUUGCUGACACUGAGGCGCGACAGCGUGGGGAGCAAACAGG